CCUACGGGUGGCAGCAGUGAGGAAUAUUGCUCAAUGGACGAGAGUCUGAACCAGCCAAGUAGCGUGAAGGAUGACUGCCCUAUGGGUUGUAACCUUCUUUUAUAUGGGAAUAAAUUGCUCCACGUGUGGGAUUUUGUAUGUACCAUAUGAAUAAGGAUCGGCUAACUCCGUGCCAGCAGCCGCGGUAAUACGGAGGCUCUGAGCGUUAUCCGGAUGUAUUGGGUUUAAAGGGAGCGUUGGUGGAUUGUUAAGUCAGUUGGGAAAGUUUGCGGCUAAACCGUAAAAUUGCAGUGGAAACUGGCAGUCUUGAGUAGAGUAGAGGUGGGCGGAAUUCGUGGUGUAGCGGUGAAAUGCU
rnacentral:rRNA from 1 species